rnacentral:rRNA from 1 species
UACGAAGGGGGCUAGCGUUGUUCGGAAUUACUGGGCGUAAAGCGUGCGCAGGCGGCUUCUCAAGUCAGGAGUGAAAGCCCAGAGCUUAACUCUGGAAUUGCCUUUGAGACUGAGAGGCUUGAGUACGGGAGAGGUGAGUGGAAUUCCCAGUGUAGAGGUGAAAUUCGUAGAUAUUGGGAAGAACACCGGUGGCGAAGGCGGCUCACUGGCCCGUAACUGACGCUCAUGCACGACAGCGUGGGGAUCAAACAGG